AACACGGUGUCCGCACAUGCUGCAACAGAAGAUGGAAGCUUGAGGGGCCAACGUCAUUUCAAACAGACAGGAACGGCGGGGCAGCUUUUCAUUCGUAACGCAAAAGGGGUUUCGCUAUGGAGACGAUAAGCAAAUUCAGUCUAGGCCAGGAGAAAUGGACUGGAGAGACAAGAGGACAGUCUGUAAAUGUUAGGAUGGAAAAAGACGUCUAAAAACAUUGGCCUGAAGCUUUGAAGAUCAAUUUGAAAGUUUUUUAAAAAACUGCAAGAAUAAUAAGUCGUAUUCAGCGGCAAGUCAUGCAUUUCAAAAACCAAUAAAUCUGUCAUUUCAGAAACAAA